rnacentral:lncRNA from 1 species
CCUUAUUUAGGUAAAGGACUGUUAGUAAAUCGAGAAAUCAGUCAAAUGUCUAUAUUUAUAUUAUGCAAGAAGACGCUGAACACCUGUUGCGUGUUGUUACAGACGAUCCAGCCAAUCAAACGGCGAGUUGCUGGUUGCUUGACAACAGGCUGGCCAAUGAGAGUCGUGUUUGUUUAUUUUGAAGAACAGAGGUGCAUUUCAAAUCAUCUGAUCAUCUCCUCUCUCUCUCUCUCUCUCUCUCCUCUAAACACGGAUCAGUCUAAUCCGCGAGCAUAUGCUGGUCUGUCUGCGGUCGGGUCCGUCUGCUUGUGA